rnacentral:rRNA from 1 species
GCUGGCGGCGCGCCUAACACAUGCAAGUCGAGCGAGAACCAGGGCUUCGGCCCUGGSGACAGCGGCGAACGGGUGAGUAACACGUGGAUAACCUGCCCUCGGCACCGGAAUAGCCCGGGGAAACCCGGAUUAAUGCCGGAUAGCCCCACAUCCCUGCGGGGAACGUGGGAAAAGGUAGCUUCGGCCUCUGGCCGAGGAUGGGUCCGCGGUGGAUUAGCUUGUUGGCGGGGUAACGGCCCACCAAGGCGACGAUCCAUAGCUGGUCUGAGAGGACGAUCAGCCACACUGGGACUGAGACACGGCCCAGACUCCUACGGGAGGCAGCAGUGGGGAAUCUUGCGCAAUGGGCGAAAGCCUGACGCAGCGACGCCGCGUGCGGGAAGAAGGCCUUCGGGUUGUAAACCGCUUUCAGGAGGGACGAAGCCACUCGGGUUAAUAGCCCAGAGGGUGACGGUACCUCCAGCAAGAAGCCCCGGCUAACUACGUGCCAGCAGCCGCGGUAAUACGUAGGGGGCAAGCGUUGUCCGGAUUCAUUGGGCGUAAAGAGCGUGUAGGCGGCCAGGUAGGUCGGUUGUGAAAACUGGAG